CACGUAGGGUGCGAGCGUUGUCCGGAAUUAUUGGGCGUAAAGAGCUCGUAGGCGGUGUGUCGCGUCGGCCGUGAAAACUUGGGGCUUAACUCUGAGCGUGCGGUCGAUACGGGCAUCACUUGAGUUCGGCAGGGGAGACUGGAAUUCCUGGUGUAGCGGUGAAAUGCGCAGAUAUCAGGAAGAACACCGGUGGCGAAGGCGGCUCUCUGGGCCUUACCUGACGCUGAGGAGCGAAAGCGUGGGUAGCGAACAGG
rnacentral:rRNA from 1 species